rnacentral:rRNA from 1 species
AUGAACGCUGGCGGCGUGCCUAAUACAUGCAAGUCGAGCGAACGGACGAGAAGCUUGCUUCUCUGAUGUUAGCGGCGGACGGGUGAGUAACACGUGGAUAACCUACCUAUAAGACUGGGAUAACUUCGGGAAACCGGAGCUAAUACCGGAUAAUAUUUUGAACCGCAUGGUUCAAAAGUGAAAGACGGUCUUGCUGUCACUUAUAGAUGGAUCCGCGCUGCAUUAGCUAGUUGGUAAGGUAACGGCUUACCAAGGCAACGAUGCAUAGCCGACCUGAGAGGGUGAUCGGCCACACUGGAACUGAGACACGGUCCAGACUCCUACGGGAGGCAGCAGUAGGGAAUCUUCCGCAAUGGGCGAAAGCCUAACGGAGCAACGCCGCGUGAGUGAUGAAGGUCUUCGGAUCGUAAAACUCUGUUAUUAGGGAAGAACAUAUGUGUAAGUAACUGUGCACAUCUUGACGGUACCUAAUCAGAAAGCCACGGCUAACUACGUG